rnacentral:rRNA from 1 species
GGGGAAUAUUGGGCAAUGGGCGAAAGCCUGACCCAGCAACGCCGCGUGAAGGAAGAAGGCUUUCGGGUUGUAAACUUCUUUGACAGGGGACGAAACAAAUGACGGUACCCUGAAAACAAGCCACGGCUAACUACGUGCCAGCAGCCGCGGUAAUACGUAGGUGGCAAGCGUUAUCCGGAUUUACUGGGUGUAAAGGGCGUGUAGGCGGGAUUACAAGUCAGAUGUGAAAACUAUGGGCUCAACCCACAGCCUGCAUUUGAAACUGUAGUUCUUGAGUGAUGGAGAGGCAGACGGAAUUCCUCGUGUAGCGGUGAAAUGCGUAGAUAUGAGGAGGAACACCAGUGGCGAAGGCGGUCUGCUGGACAUUAACUGACGCUGAGGCGCGAAAGCGUGGGGAGCAAAC